UGGGGAAUAUUGGACAAUGGGGGCAACCCUGAUCCAGCAAUGCCGCGUGAGUGAUGAAGGCCUUCGGGUUGUAAAGCUCUUUUGUUAGGGACGAUGAUGACGGUACCUAACGAAUAAGCUCCGGCUAACUUCGUGCCAGCAGCCGCGGUAAUACGAAGGGAGCUAGCGUUGUUCGGAAUUACUGGGCGUAAAGGGCGCGUAGGCGGCUUGAUAAGUUUGAUGUGAAAGCCCUGGGCUUAACCUAGGAAUAGCAUUGAAUACUGUCAGGCUUGAGGCCGAGAGAGGGAAAUGGAAUUGCGAGUGUAGAGGUGAAAUUCGUAGAUAUUCGCAAGAACACCAGUGGCGAAGGCGAUUUCCUGGCUCGGUACUGACGCUAAGGCGCGAAAGCGUGGGGAGCAAA
rnacentral:rRNA from 1 species